UACAGAGGGGGCAAGCGUUGUUCGGAAUUACUGGGCGUAAAGGGUGCGUAGGCGGCGCGGUAAGUCGGGUGUGAAAUCUCGGAGCUUAACUCCGAAACUGCAUUCGAUACUGCCGUGCUUGAGGACUGGAGAGGAGACUGGAAUUUACGGUGUAGCGGUGAAAUGCGUAGAGAUCUGGAAGAACACCAAAGGCGAAGGCAGCGUCCUGGCGAGUCACUGACGCUCAGGUGCGAAAGCUAGGGGAGCGAACGGG
rnacentral:rRNA from 1 species